AAAUGAUGAUGUUCAUUGUAGGUAGAGGAAGAAAUGCUGAUGCGCAAGUUCUAUGAGUUCAUGUCAGCUCAAGGCCUCACUAGAAGGAAUGAAGAUGGUAAUGACAUGCAAAGAGAUUGCAAUAACAGUCAUGGCAAAACACUUGUUCAAGUGAUUGCUGACAAAUAGAAAGUUUCAUAAUUAGCGAGUUGGUAUGGGACAAGCGUGCGUGUGACAGUACAUGGGAAUUGGGAAAGCUCUCUUAAGGUAUUAUACAUUGAUAGGAAAAUUCAGAUAAUUUUGCCCUUUAUUUUGGUCAUCUAAUGUAUAUGGCUUAGGGGUUAACCUAUUAUAUAGGUUGGAUGUAAUGAUUGGCAUGAGCUCAUUCAUGAGGAAAAGUGUGAGCAGUGCCAACAAAGUUCUGUGUAUCUUUGAUCUUUAGGGGUACAUAAUUUUGUGAAGCAAAGUGUGUAUGCGGCAUAUUUUGAUUCCUCAAAUGCUACAAAGAUACAUUUUCACC